CUACGGAGUACAAAAGACUUACACUAAGUCAACUUACCUGACUAUUAUUAUUUAUAAAUGUUACAAACCGUCAUGUACUAUGUCAAUAGUCCAUAGAUAUAUCUAGUUUUGAGAGAGCUUUUUCUCUCUAUGUUCUUUGAAAACUGAAUAGUAAAGAUAUUACAACGACAUCAAAUAAAAAAUGAAUUAAUUUGGUUAAUUCGUUUUGAUUGAUACCGAGUAAUUAUUACAACUGUAAUAAUUUAUUGAAAUGUCUUUAGAAUAUACAUCAACAAUAGGUCGAUAUUGUUUAA
rnacentral:misc_RNA from 1 species